GCAAACUUGGUCAUUUAGAGGAAGUAAAAGUCGUAACAAGGUCUCCGUUGGUGAACCAGCGGAGGGAUCAUUACAGAGUUGCAAAACUCCAAACCCAUGUGAACAUACCUCGUGUUGCCUCGGCGGCGAGCGUGGUGCUCUCGGGGAGUUGCCGGGUACCUACCCGGUACCUACCCUGGAGCUACCCUGUAGCCACCUACCCUGGAGCUGCAAGGUACCUACCCUGGACCUACCCGGUAGUAACCUACCCGGUAGCUACACUGUAGGGCUUGCGCAUCCGCCGGAGGACCACUUAAACUCUUGUUUCUGUGUGGCACAUCUGAGUUAUUAUACUUAAUAAGUCAAAACUUUCAACAACGGAUCUCUUGGUUCUGGCAUCGAUGAAGAACGCAGC
rnacentral:misc_RNA from 1 species